rnacentral:lncRNA from 1 species
AAUCAAAGAUCGUUCUGAAUCAAAAUCAAAGGUUCUGGGUUUGUUCUAAAUCGAAAUCAAAGGCGAGGGGUUUGUCCAAAAUCGAAAUCGAAGGCCAUAUGUUCUUAUGAAGAAAAUGAAAUCGAAGGCUAGGAGUUUGUUCUGAAUCGAAAUCGAUGGCCCAUCUCACAUGAAUCUUCUGAAAACGAAAACGAAAACGAAAUCAAAGGUAUCUCUCGAUCUUCUGGGUUAUUUUCUCUUAGACUUGUAGAUUUCUAGUUGUUGUUGUAGAUGAGUCCUUGCUUAGAUGUUCCCUUUUGACAAUGUAAUGGUGUUAUUAGGGAGCGUUGAUCUGUUGUGUACGUGUACGUUGAGCUUAGAAGUAAUCGUCAGCAUUCUUUUUUAAAAAAUAAUUAGAUGCUUUGUUGUGUGUGUUUUUGAUAUCAAGAACUCAGAGAACUGAAGAAUACAGUUUCUGCUCUAUAAAAUUUACUCUAUUAAAUGCAAAGCUACUGUGAUCUUAGAGUUGCAAAUAAAACUGAGACAUAGCUUUCCUAAUCACACUUGUUCGUUACUUGUGUCCUUGGAGAAUCUGUUCUUGUAAUGUGUUAUGUGACUAGCUUCUGUUCUUUCAGUUUUGUUUUAUGUCUAGCUUGUGAAUGUGUGACUCAUUAAAAGGAAACUGAUAUUAUAUUGCUUUGCUUCAGAAGAACCAAUCCGUUUUAGAAAAGCUAUUGGACAUCUUUUGGGAAGCUCGAACAUUUACAGUAUAUGAAUAAUAUUUGUUCUUUUUGUUUGUGUUCUUCCAUGUGUUCAAUCAUAUUUGCUUCAAAGAAUCGCAAAGUACUAAUAGAAUUUUUAUUUUUUAUUGCAGGCUGCAGCAUGGAUUCACAAACUGUACAAAGAAUGGCAAUUCUUGAGGCAGAAAACGAAUUGAUGGACUUGGAGUAUAAUGAAGAUGAAGACUCCCAAGAAGAGGGACAUGAUCUUAGUGUCAAUGAACCUGCUCAGUCAACACAUACUCAAUGUCCAAAGAGACACACACACACUCCACGAGCUUCGCGGUCUCCACGAUCUCCACUAGCUUCACGGUCUCCACGAUCUCCACUAGCUCCACGAGCUCCACGAUCUCCACUAGCUCCACGAUCUCCACGAGCUUCACGAUCUUCACGAGCUCCACGAGCUCCAAGAGCUAAACGGCCUAGACAGGUACGUAAAAAGACUUCUAAGUGUUGGCUACACUUUACAUCGGUUGGCGUAGAGUCUGAUGGUAAAGAAAGGGCUAAGUGUCACUACUGUGGUAUUAAGUUAGUUAUAGAUAGGACUCAUGGAACUUCAACAAUGAAUCGCCAUUCACGCUCUUGUCUAGAAAAACCUGAAACCGAAGUUGUUGAUUAUGAUCCCAAAGUUGAUAAGGAAAUGGUUUAUGAGAUUAUAAUUUAUCAUGACCUUCCUUUUCGCUAUGUAGAAUACGAAAAGGUUAGGGAGAGAGAUAAAUAUCUUAAUCCAGAAUGUGAGCCUAUAAGUAGACAAACCGCAAGUAGGGAGGUGUUUAAAAGAUAUCAAAUAGAAAAGCUGAAGUUGAAAGAAAUGUUUGCAAGUUACCAAGGUCGUGUGUCUUUCACUUCUGACUUGUGGACGAGUCGUAGCCAAGUGAGAGGUUAUAUCUGCCUCACUGCUCAUUAUAUUGAUGAGAAAUGGAAGCUACACAGUCACAUAUUGGCAUUUUGCGAUGUCAAACCCCCACAUACCGGUGAAGCAAUAGCCAAGAAGAUUUUUGAUAUCCUAAAGGAGUGGGGGUUAGAGCGAAGAGUGUUUUCCCUCACCUUAGAUAAUGCUUCUGCUAAUGAUAACAUGCAAAAGAUCCUUACUCAUCGUCUGCAGAGUGGGAAUGGCUUGUUGUGCGAUGGAAAGUUCCUCCAUGUAAGGUGUUGCGCCCACAUUUUGAAUCUGAUUGUCAAGAAAGGGUUAGAGUUAGGUUCUAGUCUUUUGGUGAACAUUAGGGAGAGCGUUAAGUAUGUGAAAGCUUCUGAUUCAAGGAAGGAUUCUUUUGCUACGUGUGUUGAGAGCGCUGGUAUUGAAAGCAGUGCUGGUUUGUCUUUGGAUGUGGACACACGGUGGAACUCCACUUACGAGAUGUUGGUGAGAGCUCUCAAGUUUCGUAAAGCCUUUGAUAAUCUGCAUUUGUAUGAUAGAAACUACAAAUGUUUGCCUUCUGAAGAAGAGUGGAAUCGCGGCGAGAAGAUUCGAGACUUCUUGAAGCCAUUUAGUACAAUCACAACAUACUUCUCUGGAGUCAACUACCCAACAGCCAGUGUUUAUUUCAUGCUAGUAUGGAAGAUCGAGUUGUUGUUGAGGAGGUAUGCAAGGUGUAAGGAUAAUGAGAUAAGAUUAAUGGCUGUGGAUAUGCAAAGUAAGUUUGCUAAAUACUGGGACGAGUACAGUCUUAUUUUAGCUAUGGCAGCAGUACUAGACCCAAGGAUUAAGCUGCAGAUGCUUAAGGAAGCUUAUCAUAAGCUGGAUCCUAGAACUUCUGAGAAGAAGGUUGAAGUCGUGAGGAAGAGCCUGGAGUUGCUUUAUAAAGAGUAUAGUUCAAAGUCAUCAGAAAGUUCUUCCAAAUUUCCAAGAAAAACUCCACAUGAACUCCUUACAGAAUCUCCUCUUGAAGAUGAUUUCGAUGAUGUAAGUAUCUGACAUAAAGUUCUUGUUUAUUUUGACUUCUUAAUAAUUCGCUAAUUGCUUCUUUAUCUCUGAUUUUGUUUGAAUAUAGGAUCUGCUUGAGCUUGAAAGGUGUAUCCAGUUUGGUUCAAACAACGAAAGGACAAAUCUGGACAUGUAUUUGGCUGAUACUAAGGUUGAUAUUUCGGCAUUCUCAGAUAUGGAGGUGUUAGACUACUGGAAAGAUAAGCAACACAGAUAUGGUGACUUAGCUUUGCUUGCCCGUGAUAUUCUUAGCAUCCCUAUUACUACUGUUGCGUCUGAAUCUGCGUUUAGUGUGGGAGGUCGGUUUUUGAGUCCUUUUAGAAACCGUCUCCUCCCUAAAACUGUCCAAGCAUUGAUAUGUACGCGAAACUGGCUACGCGGGUUUGUUGAGUUUGAAGGUAAACUCCUUGUUUUGAAUUAAGUGUUUUAAGAAUUAGUGUUGUUGGUUAACUCAUUGUUUGAAUGAUUUCUUUGAUUACUUGAUGCAGGAGACAUUGAGGAGUACUUUGAUUAUGAUGAUGAGGAUGCUAAUAAAAGAGCAAGUAGCUCAGGAAAUGUAGAUUCAAACAUGUGGUAACUUCCAUGAAUUUAGCUCUUUGUGUAACUUGUAAACUGCUUUAGCUUGUUUCUUGCUGUCUGUGAUUGUAUCUUGCUGUCUGGUAGACUAUAGGCUUGUAUCUUGUUGUCUAAGACUGUAGCUUGGGUUCUGUAACAAAAUAAUAUAACUUGUGUUCUUUGUGGGUUUUACGUUGUGGAUUUUUUGUACUUGUUUUGUUGAUCUGAGUUCUUUUGCAGACUGCAUACUCUUGUAGUUCACAUGCUUGUUUAUUAGUUUGUGACUGCUUUAGCUCAUGACAUUUGUUUCAUCUUUUUUUUUUGGAUGUUCUUUUCGUUUGUUGAAAUUGAUCUUUAGUUGUCUCAUGUUUGUUCUAGACUAGAACUUCUAGUGACUGCCAUCUCUCUUGUUUUUGCAGAGUGGAGUGGAAGUUGAAACGAGUGUUAGAGAUUUUGUGAGUGGAGCUUUGCUUUACACCACCAUCUCUCUUGUUUUUGAUUUUUACACUUUAUAAAGUUAAGUUGGAACUUUGAUUUUUACACUUCAUGAAUAAAAACAUGUAAACUUUGGUUUUUCUAAUUUCAUAGUUUGAAUUUGAGAACAAAAAUGAAUAAAAGAGACUUUUUUCAUUUAUAUAAUCAUAUUUUGAGUUUUUAAAAACAUGUAAACUUUGAUUAAAUUUGAUAUACAAAACAUUAUUACAUUGCA